rnacentral:rRNA from 1 species
AUUGAACGCUGGCGGCAGGCCUAACACAUGCAAGUCGAGCGGAUGAAGUUAGCUUGCUUCUGGAUUCAACGGCGGACGAGUGAGUAAUUCCUAGGAAUCUGCCUGGUAGUGGGGGAUAACGUCCGGAAACGGGCGCUAAUACCGCAUACGUUCUGAGGGAUAAAGUGGGGGUUCUUCUUACCUCACUCUAUUAGCUUAACCUAGGUGGGAUUAGCUAGUUGAUGGGGUAAAGGCAUACCAAGGCGAUGAGCCGUAACUGGUCUGAGAGGCUGAUCGGUCAAAGUGGGAAUGAGACAGGGCCCAAAAUACAACGGGAGGCAGCAGUAGGGAAUAUUAGGCAAUGGACGAAAGUAUGACAGAGCAACGCGGCGUGAGUGAAGAAGGUGUGCGGAUAGUAAAACUCUGUGGGUAGAGAAGAACGUGGGGGAGAGUGGAAAGCUCAUCAAGUGACGGGAAAUACCCAGAAAGGGACGGAUAACUAAGUG